rnacentral:rRNA from 1 species
UACGAAGGGGGCUAGCGUUGUCCGGAUUUACUGGGCGUAAAGCGCACGUAGGCGGCUCGUUAAGUCGGGGGUGAAAUCCUGGAGCUCAACUCCAGAACUGCCUUCGAUACUGGCGAUCUUGAGUCCGGAAGAGGUGAGUGGAAUUCCUAGUGUAGAGGUGGAAUUCGUAGAUAUUAGGAAGAACACCAGUGGCGAAGGCGGCUCACUGGUCCGGUACUGACGCUGAGGUGCGAAAGCGUGGGGAGCAAACAGG